rnacentral:rRNA from 1 species
UACGAAGGGCCCAAGCGUUAUCCGGAAUUAUUGGGCGUAAAGGGUGUGUAGGUGGUCGUAUUAGUCUGGGGUGUAACCUCUGAGCUCAACUUGGAGACAGCAUGGGAAACGGUACGGCUAGAGUAUGUUAGGGGUAAGCGGAACUCAUAGUGUAGGGGUGAAAUCCGUUGAUAUUAUGGGGAACACCAAAAGCGAAGGCAGCUUACUGGAACAUUACUGACACUGAAACAUGAAAGCGUGGGUAGCGAAUGGG